rnacentral:rRNA from 1 species
GACGAACGCUGGCGGCGUGCCUAAUACAUGCAAGUAGAACGCUGAAGGAGGAGCUUGCUUCUCUGGAUGAGUUGCGAACGGGUGAGUAACACGUAGGUAACCUGCCUGGUAGCGGGGGAUAACUAUUGGAAACGAUAGCUAAUACCGCAUAAUAGUAGAUGUUGCAUGACAUUUGCUUAAAAGGUGCAAUUGCAUCACUACCAGAUGGACCUGCGUUGUAUUAGCUAGUUGGUGAGGUAACGGCUCACCAAGGCGACGAUACAUAGCCGACCUGAGAGGGUGAUCGGCCACACUGGGACUGAGACACGGCCCAGACUCCUACGGGAGGCAGCAGUAGGGAAUCUUCGGCAAUGGACGGAAGUCUGACCGAGCAACGCCGCGUGAGUGAAGAAGGUUUUCGGAUCGUAAAGCUCUGUUGUAAGAGAAGAACGAGUGUGAGAGUGGAAAGUUCACACUGUGACGGUAUCUUACCAGAAAGGGACGGCUAACUACGUG